ACCGCCACAAGCUGAGCCAACCAAGGCAACAUAAGCCACAAUCCGAGCAGCCUCACAACAUGUACUACAUCUAGUUGAGCCUCAUUUCACAUUGAGCGCCACCUCAUAUCGAGUAUUCAGCUCUAGACGACAUCUAGUUACUUCGGCCCACACAUGGACUGAAUUUCAAGUCUCCAGCCAAAAGACUAUCUUGACUGAAGACUUGGGGGACUACUGUUUGUACCAUACUUAGGGCCUCCGUAUUUAGAUCUCGUAUAAAAUACUCGGGGGACUUAAAUGUAAUUAUGUAAUAAAGGAAUGGGCAAAUAUGUAAUAAGUAAGGAGCCUUUAUUCUAUAAAAGAACUCCUCACCCUCACAAUUAGAGAAUGCCAACUCUUAGGCCUGAAGCUCCCUCACCCUCUCACAUCCCCUCUCACAGUACAGAGGUUCUCUCCCUCACAAUCCUCUCAGAGAAAUACAAUAAUCAGUGUGGAAGUAGCCCAAACAUUGGGGUGAACCACGAUACAUCUUGUGUUAUUUACUUUCUUGCAGAUUCACGAUCGGAUUUACGUUGUUCCAAGACCCCUCCGGUUUUGUGCAUCAACAGAUAUAAUAGAACAAAUGUGUCGGACUUAUAAUGGUACCCUUUUUAUAUGAUUGAAAAUGAUAGAUCCCCUUCCUAAAUAAUUGUCCUCCAUUUGUAAAAGCAACGUUAGCUAAGGAGAAUUCAAAAAUGAUACAACCUCGAUUAUUUGGGUUGGCAUGCAAGUAAAUGCUAUUAAUCACUUAAGUUACAAGUUUACUACAACGAGAUAUUCUUUUAUCGAAUGUCUCUUAAGGAACGUUGCAGCUGCCAUUUAGGGAUAAAACCUAAGGCUCAAGCGAGAGUAAACUGUCAAAUUUCCUAUGACUUCCAAUUUCUCUUAAAACUUUUUUAUGGAUAAAAUUACAACUUUUGUCACGACUCACAUGCAUAUUACAAUAUCGCUCUUAUAUAUUUAACUUUUUAUUAAAUUAUUUUAGAUUAAAAUAUCAUAUAGUAAUUAGCAUUUUUUCGGUUAAUAAAAAAAGUUUUCUUAACAAUAGCACUAACAAAAUACACAUGAUGUGUGAGUGGGAAAGAGAGAACGUAAAAUGUAUUUAUAAAAAUCAUGCACUCACACGUGUGCAAAAGACAUUUUUUGAAUAACGACAUGGUACACGUGAUUUACAUGUUUUAAAUGUAUUUAUAUGCAUAAAUUGAAAAAAAGAAAGUCAAAUAUUUGAAUUAAAUGAAUAAUCUUAAAUCAUGCUAAUAAAACGCUUCAUAAACCAAUUAAAGCGGCUCAAUUGUGACAACCCGUCUUUAAUUUUACGUUUUUAUAAAUUUUAAAAGCGUGAAUUGACGAAAAUGCCCUAGAGGCAAAGACUUCCACUUCCGUUAACCCUCGUUUAGAGAAACGUAUAACUUAUUCUUUUAGCGUAUUUAAGUAAUACUCGUCACUACAAACGCAUAC
rnacentral:lncRNA from 1 species